UAAUAUGCAUUGAAAAAAUAAAAUCCAUUAGUUCCAAGAAUAAUUUAAUAGCAUGGACUAUUUAAUUUUUAACGGAGCAAUAUCAAUGAAUGGUAUAAUAGGAAAUGACUAAACAAAAUUUAUUGCUUUAACUAUAUUAACUACAUUUUCUUAAACUAUGUCAAAAUAGAAAUACACCUAUCUUCAUGGAACAGAGCAAGUAUAAAAUAGUUAAAUCUUUUACCACAUGGUGAUAAGAAGAGUCACGUUAUCCUGUUAGGUUAUUUGGAUCUUUUCACAGUUAAUCUUUUAUCAUAGAAAAAAACAAUUAGUAAAAAUAUGCAGAGAGAAAUAACACACAACUACAACAAAAAACAGAAAACCAGGAAGAGAUUCUGGAUCCAAGCACAAGAAGCAUAAAUUUUGAUAACAUUUCACACCUACAGCAACCUCUGCCCUGACAA
rnacentral:misc_RNA from 1 species